rnacentral:misc_RNA from 1 species
AAAGUCGUAACAAGGUUUCCGUAGGUGAACCUGCGGAAGGAUCAUUAAACCUUAUACUUCGGGGGGCCGGCGUUGAAUAGCAGUUCCAUUGCGGAUCAGCUCUUCUCCCCGCCCUGUCUGAACAUUACCCAUGCUUUUUGCGUACCCAUUGUUUCCUCGGCAGGCUUGCCUGCCAGCAGGACCCCUUUAAAACCUUUUGCAAUUGCAGUCAGCGUCAGAAAAAAAACUUAAUAGUUACAACUUUCAACAACGGAUCUCUUGGUUCUG